UCCGCUUUACAGAAAUCUCUCCCGAAAAUCCGUGCAGCUCAUGAUGCUAAAACCUUAUCCGAUGCAAGAGCAUAUCUCAGUGCAGCUCUAACAAAUAAGAAUACUUGUUUAGAGAGCCUUAACUCUGCUUCAGGUUCUUUGAAGCAACCUUUAGUGAACUCUAUAACAAGUACUUACAGGUAUGUGAGCAACUCCCUGUCAGCACUUCCUAAGCCAGCUACGACAGAAGGCAACAAACACCGUCGCCGCCUAAUGGGAUUUCCAGAAUGGUUGUCAAGAAAAGAUCGCCGGAUUCUGCAGAGCUCCGAUGACGAUAAUGAGUAUGACCUGAGUCAAGUGCUGACUGUGGCUGCCGAUGGAACAGGAGAUUUCACUACCAUCACUGAUGCGAUAAAUUUUGCUCCCAAUAACAGCGAUGAUAGAGUAGUCAUCAAUAUCAAACAAGGGGUUUAUGAGGAGAAUUUGGAAAUUCCAAGCUAUAAGACCAACAUUUUUCUGCUUGGAGGCGGUAAAGAUUCAACUAUCAUCACCGGAAGCAGAAGUGUGGGCGAUGGCUGGACCACUUUCAGAUCUGCAACAGUAGGUAAUUUUCAAAACACUUUUUAGAGCAUCGUGCCUUUUUGUCCAUUAAUAUUUGAACUUUAGAGAUAAAAUGAAAAAAUUUCUACUAGUGCUGAAAGUGUCGUUAGCACUAAUCUUUAAAAUAUCUCAAUGUAAACUUGUUAAUUGCAGCUGUGUCCGGAGACAGGUUUCUGGCUCGGGACCUAACAAUUGAGAACAAGGCAGGGCCAGAGAAGUACCAAGCGGUUGCCUUAAGAGUGAAUGCAGAUUUUGCAGCUUUGUUCAGAUGCAGCUUCUCUGGUUACCAAGAUACGUUAUAUGCACACUCAUUUCGUCAGUUUUACCGAGAGUGCGACGUAUACGGAACCAUAGACUACAUAUUUGGUAACGCUGCAGUGGUUCUCCAGGCAUGUAACAUCGUAUCUAGACUGCCAUUACCAGGGCAAUUCACAGUCAUCACAGCACAAUUAAAAGACGACCCGAAUGAAAACACUGGAAUCUCAAUCCAAAAUUGUUCAAUUUUGGCUACUGAAGAUCUGUAUGCAAAUUCUGCAAGUGUUAAAAGUUACCUAGGCAGGCCCUUGAAGAUCUACUCAACAACAGUUUUUCUUGAGUCCUACAUUGAUGACUUUAUUGAGCCAGCCGGGUGGAGCGAGUGGUCAGGUGAUCAAGGCUUGGACACAUUGUACUACGGAGAGUUCAAUAAUUACGGUCCAGGUUCCGGGACCGAUAAUCGGGUCACUUGGCCCGGGUAUCAUGUCAUGGAUGAGAAUGAUGCAUAUGCUUUUACUGUAUCACAGUUAAUUGAUGGUCAGGAGUGGCUGGAUUCAACUUCAAUUCCUUACCAAGAUGGGAUUUAAUCACCAUCUUUUGUGAAAAUUAAUUUUUAUUUUUAUUAAGUUCGAAUGUAACUAGAACUCUUGUUUGUAUUAGUUUGGUUUCUAAAGUAGAUAUUUAUGAAAUUAGGUUGACGUAAGGAAAUGAUUUGAUCUGUCAAUGAAAGGCCUAUGUAUGGUUCUCAAAGUUAAUAUUUAUGAAAUUUGGUUGAAGUAAGAAAAUGAUUUGAUCUGUCAAUGAAAGGCUUAUGGGAUAAAAUCUUGUGUUAGGUUUGCUUGUUAGUAGCAUUUUGUGUGCAAACAAGGAACAUGAAGCAGCAAAACCAUGUGAAGAAUAUGGGGGGUUUCUUUUUCUGUCUUUCUUUCUUUUUUAUUUUAUUUUAAAUAGCAUAUAUCAUUUAAAGGAUCAAAUUGGCCGAAUUAUAUCAUAUACGCAGCAUCGAGUUCAAGUGCAAUAUUGAAGAAAAUGCCUAAGACAGUCUAGUUGGCAUAAUGUUAUAAUUAAAAAUAAAAAGCAGUUUCACACACCAAGGAAACAAUUUUAUGAGUCUGACUUGUUUGGUUAUCUUAGCUUUAAUUUGAGGCCUAAUUUCUUUUUAAUCUUUCGUUUAUUUAAUGAGUUUUUUUGUCGGUAAGAUGCUCAACUUGACUAUAUAUAAUUGAGCAGAUGAUUCUGAAUACUGAGAUAUCAGAAUGGAGAACAGAUGGUGAUAGGCUAACCAAGUCAGGUCUUUUUGUUCUUUUUGAUGAAAAAAAUGGUUUGUCCUUUUAACGAUUUAUUCACCGGUGGGAUUUGACUCUUGAAGCUUGACGCCAUAUGGUGUCCUUUUCUACUUGUUUUCAAAAAGAUAAUCGCGCAUAGCUUGUACUUACGGUGUCUAGAUUAGCCUAUACUAUAACCUACUAAUUAAAACUAUGCUAAAAAUACAAAUAAAUAAAUAACUCCAAAACUCUAAUGAGUAAUGAAUGAUUGAACACACUUUCGCGUUAAGAGUACCUAACCUAGUUGAAAGCGAUAUUGUUAAUAUUCACUUAUCACAGUCUGCUAAGUUCGAUCCUAGUAAAUAAUUACUGAAAGUAUUAAAAAAAAAAAUCAAAAGCGAGGAAAACCCAAGAUGUACCAUUGAAAUUGAUCUGAUUGGAGAAGCAUAUUUUAGAGAUUACAUUUUUAAUUAAUUUGACUUGGUUAUAAAGUAGAAUAUGAGAGUUUCUAUGUCGGAAGAAAAUUCUUUUUUUGGUAUAUUAAACCAUCUGGUAUUUGAAAACUACAUUGGGUCCUGACUAAUUUAGAAAAUUCUUUACUUGUUACUCUCAAUCUAUUUGCUAAAUUCUCAUCAUUAAUAUGCAAUCCCAAACUUAAUUAUGUUUGCAUCCCUUUACAUCUUAUUGAUUUGCAUUUAAAACUUUCUAAUGUGUAUGUCCGCCCUUAAUUGAUUCUUCUUACAAGUACUAUAUACUAAUUUAAUAAAAUUAAAUGUAUUGUCACACUCACGAAGUUAAUUCAACUCAAAAUAUUACGUAAAAUGACCCAUCCUACAUACUAAAGUCAAUAUACUAAUUAUUGUUAAUUAAUGUGGAACAAAUUUAAGCACUCAACAAAGAUGUAUCACAUCCAACAGGAUGCAGAAUUUUUCAAAUCCCGGUAAAUCAAGUCAUCUUGGAAAAUAACCUUCCGUAUUCAAGAGGCAACCGCGUCAACACUUGAAAAAACCAAAGGCCGCCAUAAGUGGCCAUAAACAUGGCUUGUCAAGUGCAGAGCCCCACUAAGCUACAAGGUCCCAGCAGAGAACUCAGAUUCAGAAUGUGCUUUCACAUUUCUGCACGGAUGAGUUGGAGGUAACUUCGAUCAAAGCACUAGUGACUGAAAUUAUGCGCAGUCCUAUUUGAAUUUGUGAAGGGCAACCAAAAUAUUACAGACCUAGUCUAAAAUGAACAAAAUCACGCCAUAUAUAGAAUCGCACAAAUUAUGUUACACUACAUGUAAUUCCACAUAGUGUCCCCUCUAAUUAAUAGCCAAUCCUGAAUAAAUUUGAUACUUAAUGGUACUUGUUUAUAUUUAGUUGUGCGGAUAUAAGAGUGAUUUUGCAAAAUUUAAAGGCAAGGUAAGGAGGGAAAAUCGGUUAUAAAGUAGAGAUUCUGUAUCACCCGUUUCGGACAAGUUCCCCUAACUGACUUUUAAACAUAACACCUAAAAAUUCUCCUGUCCGUUUCUCUUGUUCUUGGUCUUGCAUUUUUUUUUUUAAUUUUUCAUUUUUUCGUAUCGCUCUGCCUUUGCUUUGGAUGUUAAGGCAGAGAGAUCUCUGCCCGUGUCACAAUAAUGGUAUUUCAAGAUUUUGAUCAUUUAUCAGAACGCAGGAAGGCUGAAAGACAACGAACAUUUCGAAAGCGAGUAACAAUUUCUGCCAUUUCUGCAUUUGUUCUCAUCAUUUUGAUUGCUGCGGGAGUUUUUGGAGUUGUUUCUCAAGAUAAUGGCGAGGAUUCUUCUAAAACAUCACCGUCAUCUGGAGACCCGAAAGGGAUUUCGCGUGCACAAAAAAUGAUUUCAACUAUAUGUGGGAGCACCGCAUACAAGAAUUCGUGCAAUGAUACUUUGUCGGCUGCAGCCAUCUCAAGGCUUCAAUAGCAGCAACUGUUGUUGAGCUUGACAAGGCCAUUAAGAAAGUAGAAUCCAACGAUUUUAAUGCCCCAGAAACAGAAGCUGCAUUUAAAGUUUGUAAGAAAGUCAUAGAUGACGCCAAGGAGGAAUUGAAUCGAUGUGUUUCUCAAGUUGGUGGCAAAAAGCGUGAUCUUGGGAUGCUUGUAGAAAGGGCUGGUGAAUUGAACAAUUGGCUAAGUGCAGUCAUGACUUAUCAACAGACAUGCAUUGAUGGAUUUCCUGAAGGAAAAAUGAAAUCUGACAUGGACAAAACCCUGAAUGAAACCCAGCAACUCACUAGCAAUUCUCUAGCUAUGUUAAGCCAAUUUUCAAAAUACUUGUCAUCAAUCAUGAAUUUGACGCCCGAAGGAACGGAUCAUCGCGGCCUUUUGGAUUCAAAGGAUGGAGUACUACCAUCCUGGAUGAGCCAUCAGGAAAGAAAAAUGUUGCAGGAUGAAGAAAACAACAAGAUAGAACCACACUUGAUAGUGGCAAAAGAUGGCUCCGGAAACUUUACAACAAUAUCUGAAGCAUUGGCAGCCGCACCUCAAAAAUAUGAAGGACGGUAUGAUUAAUUAUGAUAUUCAAUUGAGCUUCUAACAAUGUCAAACAAUUCAUUUUCGUAAUGGUUCGUCCAUUUUGAAUGCGCUGUAGGUUUGUCAUCUAUGUUGCCGCAGGAAUUUACGAAGAGAGUGUGACUUUGUCAAAGCGUAUGGUGAAUCUUACAAUCAUUGGGGAAGGAUCUCAGAAGUCCAUCAUUGUGGGGCGCAAAAGUGUUGCAGACGGAGUCAAUAUCUAUGAUUCUGCAACUUUUGGUACGUUAGUUACGUUAACAUUUUGGCAACAGGCAGGGGCGCCGGAACGGUGUUGAGACCCGAGUCUAGCCCUGUGAAAAAUUUUAAUAUACUCGCAAACGCACGAAUCUAGAAAUAGAAUAAUUGUAACGAGGUCGAUCCCACAAGGAUUGUUAUAAAUUGAAAAAUCUAAUUUAAAUCUAAAAUUAAUAUUAAUUCUAACUUAGUUGACCAAAUUGAGUUACUAAGAAAAUUAAACCAAUUAAACUAAGGAAGCAAUUAAAAUAAAGGAGAAUUCAAUAAGAUAAGAAUUACCAAGAUUUCAGAAUCCAUCACAAUUCAACUAGUAAUUAUCUAAUUAUUAAUUAAUCUCCAAUUUUAGAGUGACAACUCGAAAUCAAUCUGUGUCAUCUCAUGAAUAUAACAAUUAAGCCCAAGUAAUUAAAUCUAAUGUAGAUUCUUUUUCUGCUUAAUAGUAUGAUAUCUAAGCACCUCAUGUAAACAUCUUGAAUAACAAAGAGUCAAAGUUUCCCUAAGCACUCUAUGUAAACAAUUUAAUGAAAGACAUAAAAUAAAAAAUAAUCAUGUAUAAGCUUUAUAGAUCCAAAGAUAUAUUUAAUCAAAUAUUAAUCCUAACAAUCAAUAAUGCAUGACAAAAUUGAUGAAAAGAUUUUAUUAACAUCCAAUUAAUCAUGUGAAAUAAAAAUCAUAAUCAUCAAAGAACAUAUAUAUAGGGAAUUACUUAAAUAAAAAGAUAAUUAUUUCAUUGAAUAAAGUUUCAUCAUUAACCUUAGUAUAAAUAAAUUAACUAGACAUACUUGAAUUAAGAAUAACAAAAAAAAAAAAAAACCGGCCAUGAAGAAUAUUGAACUGUUGAUGCCGAUUGCUCUCUUCCGGCCUUGCGUCUGCUCUCCUCUGGCGGCUACCCCCCUUUCUAAAAUCAAAGUUUGGCUUUUAUAUUUAGUCUUCAAAUGGGCCCAUAAACAUUAGAGAAUGGGUUUGUUUUAUGUCAAGGGUCCUAAUCGAACUUUAGCUGAUAUUCAGUGUAAAUCUUACGUUUUAGUUGUGUGGUCUCUCCAAAUUUGUAGUUCUUACGUUUUAGUUGUGUGGUCUCUCCAAAUUUGUAGUUCUUACGUUUUAGUUGUGUGGUCUCUCCAAAUUUGUAGUUCUUACGUUUUAGUUGUGUGGUCUCUCCAAAUUUGUAGUUCUUACGUUUUAGUUGUGUGGUCUCUCCAAAUUUGUAGUUCUUACGUUUUAGUUGUGUGGUCUCUCCAAAUUUGUAGUUCUUACGUUUUAGUUGUGUGGUCUCUCCAAAUUUGUAGUUCUUACGUUUUAGUUGUGUGGUCUCUCCAAAUUUGUAGUUCUUACGUUUUAGUUGUGUGGUCUCUCCAAAUUUGUAGUUCUUACGUUUUAGUUGUGUGGUCUCUCCAAAUUUGUAGUUCUUACGUUUUAGUUGUGUGGUCUCUCCAAAUUUGUAGUUCUUCUCCAUCAUAACCGAUAUCCAAAAUACUGGUUCCAUCACUAGCACUAGGAUCUAUUUUACGAACUUGCUUAAUUGUUGAUUGCUUUUGCAGUGGCUAUCGGAGACGGGUUAUUUGCUAAAUCAAUGGGAUUCAGAAACAUUGCGGGUCCAGAAAAGGGUAAGGCAGUGGCUGCUAGAGUCCAAUCCGACCGUGCAACAUUUCACAACUGCCGCUUUGAGGGCUACCAAAACGCAGUGUGGGUGCAAACUCACCGCCAAUUCUACAGGAGUUGCUUAAUUACAGACACAGUCGAUUUCAUAUUUGGCGAUGCGGCAGCUAUCUUUCAGAAUUGCCAGAUAAUGGUUAGAAAACCCCUGGACGUGUGCAAUGAUUCUUGUAUUCAGAAUCAAUAGAAUUAACAUAGACUCGUUUACACAGUGAAAUUAUUCUGGUAGCCGCCAUCACUAUCUCAUUUUUGAACGACAUUAAAUACUCUCAGGACUGACAAUGUUCAGUAGGUGACCAAAAAUUUUACACUCUUAAUUCUUGAUUAAAGAGUUCUUUGUUUGGAUUAUAAUCACAGUAGUGCUUUUGGUCCUUUUGUUAUUUAAAUCAAAAGAAUAAUUAAUUGUACAAUUACGCGUGGUCGGGUAAAGAAGACGGAUAUAUGUGGAUAAAGCAAGUGUGUAAAUAAAUGUAGAAAGAAUCUGAACAUGCGAGAAUUUGGCAGUUGCCAGGACAAAAGAUGCAGCGCAAAACGACUUUGUCUCGUGAAUUUUCAGAAGAAGGGCCAAGUUGCCACUGAGAGAUUUUAAAAAUAAUUACUCACAACUCACUCUUUGGUUUUAUUUGAUUUUGCGUUAUUGAAAAAAAUGAAGGAAAAAGUGAAAGUUAUCCAUUAGCUACAACUUGCAAAUUGACGCCGAAAAAAAUAAUAACAAUGAUAAUAAUAGUAAUAAAGUUACUUGGAGGGAAAAAAAAUGAUUUACAACUAUUUUCUCAGAACAAUUCUACACGCCGCAAAAAAUAUUUUUCAAAAUACAUUGAAAUGAGAUGAUCGUAUCCAUUAUGGGAAUGAUCGAGGACGAAAUUUUUAUUUGGACAUGAGUUUGGCCUUAAAUGAAUUUCAAUUUGUGAUUUAUAUAUUGAUUUUAAGGUUUCGUUGACCCAUCAUGUUUCCUUCUUGGUUGGCACUCUAGAUUCACAUACACGGCUUCACCUCGUGCGUGAUUGAAUAAUGCUUCAUACAUAGAUACGACAACUUGUAUGUAUUUCCACAGCAAUCUUUAUAAUCUGUCAAUGACAUUCAAACAAUAAUUCAAAGCAAGCUGGAGAUCAUUCAUGUGAUCUUAAUUUUAAGUAAUUGAAUAUCAGCAAAGACUCGUUUUCUGAUUUGGGAUUGAUGAUUUUUCGAUAUGGAAUUUGAAUGUAUGUUGUCAGAUCUUGGAAAAUCCUUUAGUUUAUUAAUUGAAUUAGAGUUCAUCCUAAAACAUGUAAAGAAAUGUGUUGCAAUUUAAUUAAGGAUUAUUUAUCAGCAUUAUCAAUUAAAAAAGAAACUUAUUAUUUAUUCGCAUCACCAGUUCUCAUGAAUCAUGAUGUUAAUUUUCAAUUGGCACUCUAGAAGAAUUUUGGUUUUUAAACACAAGAAAUUAAGUUGAAGAAAUAAAACUAUUUUUAUGAUUGCAUGUAGCAAUAUUCUUUUGACUUUUAUACACAGAUGUUUGAUUUUCCUACUACAAUCUUUAUACUUUAGUCUUCGGCAUUCCCUCGAAUAAUUUACUUUAACAAGAAGUGAGAUAGAGAUCAUUCGUAUUGAAAUCUUAAGUUAUGAAGAUUAGAAAAAGACUCGUCUUAAUUAAUCAAGCUGUGAUUGAUGAUUUUUCUAUUUUGGAAUAUAAACUUAGGUGGUCAAAUCUUCGAAAAUUGUUUAUUUUACUAAUUAAACUAUAAUUAAUGCUAAAACUUGUUAGAAAUGUUUUAAAUUUAACAAUUUUGAUUUGGUUGUAAUCUAUAGAUAUAAGUUUCUGGGGUCUAAAAAAUUAUAUAGCAUUUUGCAUGAUUUUCCAUGUUACCAGCCACAUCAGAUUCCAGUUAAGUCCAAAAGUCAAGAUUCAACAAAUGCCAAAAUCGGCCAAAUUGCUAAAUGGAUUACUUUGAGCUUGGUCUAAGCUUGCUUGAUAGAAUUGAAAGCAUGAGCAUGAUUUGGUGUGUGCAGUCGCGGAUCUUAUUGUGCGCGACUGUGAGCGUGUCAAAUUUUUAUUAGAGGAUAAUUUGAGAUGUAUUUAGUCGCAUGUGACCGCGCUCCCUAGAUAGGACCUAUUAAGAGUGCUCUUAAACUCCUUUACCCGUCCAAAAUUUUGCGGAGAGGCAAAAUUUACAUCAUUGACAAGCCCCCAUGGGCCACGGCCCACCAUUCGCACAAACCAUGAAUCGCUCAUUAAUUUAUUUGUUGUUUUUGAACAAUGAAAUAUCUUCCUUGUUGGAUGUUGGCAUGUUGCUCUCUCUGCUUCAUGUGACUGUGCUAGUUCAAUAAAGGGUUCAAACUUCAAAAUAAAUAUAUCAAUAAACGUUAUAUACUAGACAAAUGCUAAGUUAACUUACACAACUCUUGUGAACCAUAUAAAUUACGAAAUUCAUAGUUUUGUAUGGUUCAGAAAAGUUAUGUAAUCAUUAUUUAUAUAAACAUCACAAUAAUACUAUCCAUAUAAACAUCACAAUAAUCAUUAUUUAUAUAUAUAAAAAAAGAGUUUCUAAUAACACAAUUGAGGUGUAGCUUAAUACCGUUAACAACAAAUCCUUUUCACAUUCGAGAGAAGGGUGAUAGGGUGUUUAGUAAACACCACUAGAUGUCAAGUAAAUCUUAAAAUAAUCAAUUGUGCUACAAAAACCAAAUUAUAAGUGUUUAAUCCUUAAGCAUAUAAACUGUCAAUAACAACAUUGAUUUAUGCCCUUGAUCUAUUAAAUAUUGUUUUAACAAGUAAUUUUACGAGUGUUUGAAUUAAUAGAUGGAUAAAAUUCAUUAUUUUGAAUCUUUGAUAACAGUAUUGACAUUGAGGGUUUCAAUCAAUUUUAUCGUUUAAAAUAGUUUAACAAAAAAAAUGAAAGCAGGAAAAAAAUCAUAAAAAAAUUUAAUAUAUAAUAUAUGAUAUAAUGUUAUUUACUUAUUAUAUAAGGGGCAAUAUACUUUUAAUGCAUUCUAAAAUUUCUUCCAACACUGGCCGCUUCUCAAGUACAUUCAAAGACUGGCAAGGGCAAACAUGGCUAUAGAAUCUCUCUCUCUCUCUCUCUCUAGCCUGCCGUGAAAAUUAAAAGAACAUACAAUAUUAUGCAUCUAUGAAUUGCUUUUAUCCCAAAGCAAAUGUAAACAAGUAUUUUAGAGACACGGUCAAAUAAUCAUCUCCCAAUUUUCAAAGAUCACCGUCACUAAAAUCCACGCAAUUCAAUAUUAUAAGUCACACAAACUCCAUGCAAUUUUGUUCCCCUCCACCCCCAAAACAUUAUUUAAGAACAAUCAGCGAUUAGCCACUCUCUUAUCUUCAACAUUUUAAACAUAGUGAAUCAAUUCACUCUGCCUUCUUCAUAUCGGCUGUCAUGGCUGCUUCCUCCUUUCUGAAACUCACCUUGCUCCUCUUCACAAUCUCCAUCUCCAUCACAGCUACUCUAAGCACUCCUUCAACAACUUCUCUACACACCAACAUAUCUUCAAUAAGCAAUUUUUGCAAAAGCACUCCGCACCCAGAUGCUUGUUUUGAGUCAUUGAAGCUCUCUAUAUCAAUCAAUAUCAGUCCAAACAUCAUCAACUUCUUGCUUCAAACUCUCCAAAUGGCCAUUUCCGAAGCCGGGAAGGUCACCAAUCUAUUGGCCGGUGCAGGCAGCUCUAAUAUUGUCGAGAAACAGAGAGGCACAAUCCAAGAUUGUAAAGAACUUCACCAAAUCACAUUAUCCGCUUUACAGAAAUCUCUCCCGAAAAUCCGUGCAGCUCAUGGUGCUAAAACCUUAUCCGAUGCAAGAGCAUAUCUCAGUGCAGCUCUAACAAAUAAGAAUACUUGUUUAGAGAGCCUUAACUCUGCUUCAGGUUAUUUGAAGCAACCUUUAGUGAACUCUAUAACAAGUACUUACAGGUAUGUGAGCAACUCCCUGUCAGCACUUCCAAAGCCAGCGACGACAGAAGGCAACAAACACCGCCGCCGCCUAAUGGGAUUUCCAGAAUGGUUUUCAAGAAAAGAUCGCCGGAUUCUGCAGAGCUCCGAUGACGAUAAUGAGUAUGACCAGAGUCAAGUGCUGACCGUGGCUGCCGAUGGAACGGGAGAUUUCACUACCAUCACUGAUGCGAUAAAUUUUGCUCCCAAUAACAGCGAUGAUAGAGUAAUCAUCAAUAUUAAACAAGGGGUUUAUGAGGAGAAUUUGGAAAUUCCAAGCUAUAAGACCAACAUUUUUCUGCGUGGAGGCGGUAAAGAGUCAACUAUCAUCACCGGAAGCAGAAGUGUGGGCGAUGGCUGGACCACUUUCAGAUCUGCAAC
rnacentral:lncRNA from 1 species